UGGGGAAUUUUCCGCAAUGGGCGAAAGCCUGACGGGGCAAUGCCGCGUGGAGGUGGAAGGCCUACGGGUCGUCAACUUCUUUUCUCGGAGAAGAAACAAUGACGGUAUCUGAGGAAUAAGCAUCGGCUAACUCUGUGCCAA
rnacentral:rRNA from 1 species